rnacentral:rRNA from 1 species
AGUAGCAAUACUCAGAUGGCGACCGGCGCACGGGUGAGUAACACGUAUCCAACCUGCCGCUUACUCGGGGAUAGCCUUUCGAAAGAAAGAUUAAUACCCGAUGGUAUAAAGAGUUCGCAUGUUCUCUUUAUUAAAGAAUUUCGGUAAGCGAUGGGGAUGCGUUCCAUUAGAUAGUUGGCGGGGUAACGGCCCACCAAGUCUACGAUGGAUAGGGGUUCUGAGAGGAAGGUCCCCCCACAUUGGAACUGAGACACGGUCCAAACUCCUACGGGAGGCAGCAGUGAGGAAUAUUGGUCAAUGGACGAGAGUCUGAACCAGACCCAAGUAGCGUGAAGGAUGACUGCCCUAAGGGUUGUAAACUUCUUUUAUAAGGGAAUAAGUGAGGGACGUGUCCCUUUUUGUAUGUACCUUAUGAAUAAGGAUCGGCUAACUCCGUGCCAGCCGCCGC